GAGUAAGACUCUGUCUCGAAAAAAAAAAAAAAAAAAAUAGACUUUGUGGAAAUAAUGGCCCCCAGAGAAAACUUACAAAGACAGAAACUUUUCUUAUUUAAUUUGAUGUGGACAAAAAAAAAAAAAUGAAUGAAAGCAGUAUCAAAAAUAAAUUCAUGAAAUGUACUCAUGAAAAAUAAUUUUAGUAAGAUAGAAAUAAAGAUGAUUAAAAUACUACUAAGCAGAAAGUUGAUCCAAGAAUUAAAAUGACUUAAUUCUACCAGUGAAAUCAUGUCUUUUUCAUUCAGGAAAACUCACCAACACUAGUAUAAUUCUGGGACAAUGUUUGUAUUUAUGAACAUUGAGUUAAGACAAUUUCUGGGUCACUACAUUUUGAUUGAAUUCAGCAAUUGACAGUCAGAAAUUGCACCACUCAUUUACUGGGCAAUAACACUAUACAACUACUUAUUAGAAAAGGAACUUUUGGCUAAAAUCUUUUUCUGAACCCAAGAGAAUGGCAAGGAUUUAUCCAUUUCUUCUGGGUAGCUAGUUAGAUUCUGAGAGAAGCUGCAAUGUGAUGUGCUCCUGACAUGAGACCAUUCCCAAUGGCAAGGACAGCAACCUCACUCCACGACCUGGAAGCAUGCAGAAAAGACUGCCUUCUUCAAAGGCAUUUGGAGCUACAUACAGAAGGAAGACUACCUGAAGAUCCUGUGAGAAGACAGCCAUCUAUGAGCCGAGAGAGGGGCCUCAGAAGAAGCCAACUCUGCUACGCCUUGGUCUUGAACUUCCAGUCUCCAGAACUGUGAGAAGAUAAAUUUCUGCUGUUUGAGCCACACAGUAUGUGGUACUGUUAGGCAGCCUUAAUAAACUAAUACAGGAACUAUAAAAGUAACUUAUUUUUAUAUUAGGGCCUAUCAUUGGUGAGCUAUCAACUUUGUUACUUUGAAAAUCUGACUAUGCUUUCAAUGAGAUUAUUAUAUCGUUUCAAAUAUGUAACAUAU